rnacentral:rRNA from 1 species
GAUUGAACGCUGGCGGCAUGCCUUACACAUGCAAGUCGAACGGCAGCACGGGGGCAACCCUGGUGGCGAGUGGCGAACGGGUGAGUAAUACAUCGGAAUGUACCCAGUAGUGGGGGAUAACUAGUCGAAAGAUUAGCUAAUACCGCAUACGCACUAUGGUGGAAAGCGGGGGAUCGCAAGACCUCGCGCUAUUGGAGCAGCCGAUGUCCGAUUAGGUAGUUGGUGGGGUAAAGGCCUACCAAGCCUGCGAUCGGUAACUGGUCUGAGAGGACGACCAGUCACACUGGAACUGAGACACGGUCCAGACUCCUACGGGAGGCAGCAGUGGGGAAUAUUGCACAAUGGAGGGAACUCUGAUGCAGCGACGCCGCGUGAGUGAAGAAGGUCUUCGGAUCGUAAAACUCUGUCCUUGGUGAAGAAAAGGACGGUAGCCAAGGAGGAAGCCCCGGCUAACUACGUGCCAGCAGCCGCGGUAAUACGUAGGGGGCGAGCGUUGUCCGGAUUUACUGGGCGUAAAGGGUGAGUAGGCGGUUAUAUAUGUCAGGUGUAAAAAGCUAUGGCUUAACCAUAGUAAGCACUUGAAACUGUAUGACUUGAGUGCAGGAGAGGUAAGCGGAAUUCCUAGUGUAGCGGUGAAAUGCGUAGAUAUUAGGAGGAACACCGGUGGCGAAGGCGGCUUACUGGACUGUAACUGACGCUGAGUCACGUAAGCGUGGGUAGCAAACAGGAUUAGAUACCCUGGUAGUCCACGCUGUAAACGAUGAGUGCUAGGUGUUGGGUAGCGAUAUUCAGUGCCGGAGUAAACACAAUAAGCACUCCGCCUGGGGAGUACGGUCGCAAGACUGAAACUCAAAGGAAUUGACGGGGACCCGCACAAGCAGCGGAGCAUGUGGUUUAAUUCGAAGCAACGCGAAGAACCUUACCAAGGCUUGACAUCCCCUUGACAGAUGCAGAGAUGUAUCCUCCUCUUAUGAGGCAAGGGAGACAGGUGGUGCAUGGUUGUCGUCAGCUCGUGUCGUGAGAUGUUGGGUUAAGUCCCGCAACGAGCGCAACCCUUAUCCUUAGUUGCCAGCAGGUAAGGCUGGGCACUCUAAGGAGACUGCCGGUGAUAAACCGGAGGAAGGUGGGGAUGACGUCAAAUCAUCAUGCCCCUUAUGUCUUGGGCUACACACGUGCUACAAUGGUCGGUACAACGGGCAGCUAUGGAGCGAUCCGGAGCAAAUCCCAAUAAACCGAUCCCAGUUCGGAUUGCAGGCUGCAACUCGCCUGCAUGAAGUCGGAGUUGCUAGUAAUCGCGAAUCAGAACGUCGCGGUGAAUGCGUUCCCGGGUCU